UUAAUUGAAACCAAAAAGAGGUCUACCACUGUUAAUGGUAAAAAUGGAACACUUCCCAAUUAAA
rnacentral:tRNA from 1 species